UACGGAGGGUGCAAGCGUUAUCCGGAUUCACUGGGUUUAAAGGGUGCGUAGGUGGGCAGGUAAGUCAGUGGUGAAAUCUUUGGGCUUAACCCGAAAACUGCCAUUGAUACUAUUUGUCUUGAGUACUGUGGAGGUCAGCGGAAUAUGUCAUGUAGCGGUGAAAUGCUUAGAUAUGACAUAGAACACCCAUUGCGAAGGCAGCUCGCGACACUAUUAUUGACGCUGAGGCACGAAAGCGUGGGGAUCAAACAGG
rnacentral:rRNA from 1 species